rnacentral:rRNA from 1 species
UGUAGGCAGGGUGAGAAUCCCAAGGCGCUUGAGAGAACUCGGGUGAAGGAACUAGGCAAAAUGGCACCGUAACUUCGGGAGAAGGUGCGCCCUUUGGUGUGGUCACGUGCGUGACUGAGCAUCGAAGGGUCGCAGUAACCUGGCCGCUGCGACUGUUUAUCAAAAACACAGCACUCUGCAAACACGAAAGUGGACGUAUAGGGUGUGACGCCUGCCCGGUGCUGGAAGGUUAAUUGAUGGGGUCAGCCGCAAGGCGAAGCUCCUGAUCGAAGCCCCAGUAAACGGCGGCCGUAACAAUAACGGUCCUAAGGUAGCGAAAUUCCUUGUCGGGUAAGUUCCGACCUGCACGAAUGGCGUAACGACAGCGGCGCUGUCUCCACCCGAGACUCAGUGAAAUUGAAAUCGCUGUGAAGAUGCAGCGUUCCCGCGGCAAGACGGAAAGACCCCGUGAACCCUUACUAUAGCUUUACACUGAACGUUGAGUUCUUCUGUGUAGGAUAGGUGGGAGGCUAUGAAACCAGGACGCUAGUUCUGGUGGAGCCAUCCUUGAAAUACCACCCUGAAGUGCUUGACGUUCUAACCUAGGCCCGUAAUCCGGGUCAGGGACCGUGUAUGGUGGGUAGUUUGACUGGGGCGGUCUCCUCCCAAAGAGUAACGGAGGAGCACGAAGGUACGCUCAGCGCGGUCGGACAUCGCGCACUGUGUGCAAAGGCAUAAGCGUGCUUGACUGCGAGAUCGACGGAUCAAGCAGGUACGAAAGUAGGUCUUAGUGAUCCGGUGGUUCUGUAUGGAAGGGCCAUCGCUCAACGGAUAAAAGGUACUCCGGGGAUAACAGGCUGAUACCGCCCAAGAGUUCAUAUCGACGGCGGUGUUUGGCACCUCGAUGUCGGCUCAUCACAUCCUGGGGCUGUAGCCGGUCCCAAGGGUAUGGCUGUUCGCCAUUUAAAGUGGUACGCGAGCUGGGUUCAGAACGUCGUGAGACAGUUCGGUCCCUAUCUGUCGUGGGCGUUGGAGAUUUGAGGGGAGCUGCUCCUAGUACGAGAGGACCGGAGUGGACGUUCCGCUGGUGUUCGGGUUGUCAUGCCCAUGGCAUUGCCCGGUAGCUACGAACGGAAGUGAUAACCGCUGAAAGCAUCUAAGCGGGAAGCACGCCCCAAGAUGAGAUCUCCCGAGAGCUUGACUCUCCUAAAGGCACCAUCAAGACUAGGUGGUUGAUAGGUCAGGUGUGGAAGCGCAGCAAUGCGUUGAGCUAACUGAUACUAAUGAGCCGUGAGGCUUGACCA